UUAUGGAGCAGCUUACCUUGGAAGCAAAGUGGUGUUAUAAAACUGCAGAAACCUUCUCUGCAAUCAAGGAGGUGGUCCGCAGUUUGCGUGAUGACCGUGAAGAUGCCCACUUCUGAACUUUUCAAUAGUUUCUAGAGAUGGAUGACUUUGCGAAGGAACCUGUUUGCUCUCUCCUCAAGGCUAAUAAUACGGGUUAAGAUACCAAAUUAGAAGCAAAGGGUAAUAUCGAGAUCAACUGGAAGACAACUCAAUCAUAUUAUUAAACAGCACGGUCAUAGACAAUUAAACUUCAAAUCUGUUUCGGGUUUUCUCUGUUUGUGGAAUAACAACACGUUCUACUUCCAAGGAGAAAUGCGGAAACCUCUGCUCACAGAUGCGAUUGUUCACAACGGUUCAUGCAACGGUUUAAAAAACAUGAUAAACAAUAAAAACAUACUAUAACCAGCCACCAAGUGAUUUGGGGGUGAUCAACUAAGUAAAACUUCUUCCUUAUUUGAUGCUAUUGCUAGUUUCAUAGCUAUUCUGUUGGUCAAACUUUUCAUUUUUCG